rnacentral:rRNA from 1 species
AAAUUGAAGAGUUUGAUCAUGGCUCAGAUUGAACGCUGGCGGCAGGCCUAACACAUGCAAGUCGAACGGUAACAGGAAGCAGCUUGCUGCUUUGCUGACGAGUGGCGGACGGGUGAGUAAUGUCUGGGAAACUGCCUGAUGGAGGGGGAUAACUACUGGAAACGGUGGCUAAUACCGCAUAACGUCGCAAGACCAAAGAGGGGGACCUUCGGGCCUCUUGCCAUCAGAUGUGCCCAGAUGGGAUUAGCUAGUUGGUGAGGUAACGGCUCACCAAGGCGACGAUCCCUAGCUGGUCUGAGAGGAUGACCAGCCACACUGGAACUGAGACACGGUCCAGACUCCUACGGGAGGCAGCAGUGGGGAAUAUUGCACAAUGGGCGCAAGCCUGAUGCAGCCAUGCCGCGUGUAUGAAGAAGGCCUUCGGGUUGUAAAGUACUUUCAGCGGGGAGGAAGGUGUUGUGGUUAAUAACCGCAGCAAUUGACGUUACCCGCAGAAGAAGCACCGGCUAACUCCGUGCCAGCAGCCGCGGUAAUACGGAGGGUGCAAGCGUUAAUCGGAAUUACUGGGCGUAAAGCGCACGCAGGCGGUCUGUCAAGUCGGAUGUGAAAUCCCCGGGCUCAACCUGGGAACUGCAUUCGAAACUGGCAGGCUUGAGUCUUGUAGAGGGGGGUAGAAUUCCAGGUGUAGCGGUGAAAUGCGUAGAGAUCUGGAGGAAUACCGGUGGCGAAGGCGGCCCCCUGGACAAAGACUGACGCUCAGGUGCGAAAGCGUGGGGAGCAAACAGGAUUAGAUACCCUGGUAGUCCACGCCGUAAACGAUGUCUACUUGGAGGUUGUGCCCUUGAGGCGUGGCUUCCGGAGCUAACGCGUUAAGUAGACCGCCUGGGGAGUACGGCCGCAAGGUUAAAACUCAAAUGAAUUGACGGGGGCCCGCACAAGCGGUGGAGCAUGUGGUUUAAUUCGAUGCAACGCGAAGAACCUUACCUGGUCUUGACAUCCACGGAAGUUUUCAGAGAUGAGAAUGUGCCUUCGGGAACCGUGAGACAGGUGCUGCAUGGCUGUCGUCAGCUCGUGUUGUGAAAUGUUGGGUUAAGUCCCGCAACGAGCGCAACCCUUAUCCUUUGUUGCCAGCGAUUAGGUCGGGAACUCAAAGGAGACUGCCAGUGAUAAACUGGAGGAAGGUGGGGAUGACGUCAAGUCAUCAUGGCCCUUACGACCAGGGCUACACACGUGCUACAAUGGCGCAUACAAAGAGAAGCGACCUCGCGAGAGCAAGCGGACCUCAUAAAGUGCGUCGUAGUCCGGAUUGGAGUCUGCAACUCGACUCCAUGAAGUCGGAAUCGCUAGUAAUCGUGGAUCAGAAUGCCACGGUGAAUACGUUCCCGGGCCUUGUACACACCGCCCGUCACACCAUGGGAGUGGGUUGCAAAAGAAGUAGGUAGCUUAACCUUCGGGAGGGCGCUUACCACUUUGUGAUUCAUGACUGGGGUGAAGUCGUAACAAGGUAACCGUAGGGGAACCUGCGGUUGGAUCACCUCCUUACCUGAAAGAA